AGCGGCGGAUGGGUGAGUAACACGUGGGGAACCUGCCCCUGAGUCUGGGAUACCAUUUGGAAACAGGUGCUAAUACCGGAUAAUAAAGCAGAUCGCAUGAUCAGCUUUUGAAAGGCGGCGUAAGCUGUCGCUAAGGGAUGGCCCCGCGGUGCAUUAGCUAGUUGGUAAGGUAACGGCUUACCAAGGCGACGAUGCAUAGCCGAGUUGAGAGACUGAUCGGCCACAUUGGGACUGAGACACGGCCCAAACUCCUACGGGAGGCAGCAGUAGGGAAUCUUCCACAAUGGACGCAAGUCUGAUGGAGCAACGCCGCGUGAGUGAAGAAGGUUUUCGGAUCGUAAAGCUCUGUUGUUGGUGAAGAAGGAUAGAGGUAGUAACUGGCCUUUAUUUGACGGUAAUCAACCAGAAAGUCACGGCUAACUACGUGCCAGCAGCCGCGGUAAUACGUAGGUGGCAAGCGUUGUCCGGAUUUAUUGGGCGUAAAGCGAGCGCAGGCGGAAAAAUAAGUCUAAUGUGAAAGCCCUCGGCUUAACCGAGGAACUGCAUCGGAAACUGUUUUUCUUGAGUGCAGAAGAGGAGAGUGGAACUCCAUGUGUAGCGGUGGAGUGCGUAGAUAUAUGGAAGAACACCAGUGGCGAAGGCGGCUCUCUGGUCUGCAACUGACGCUGAGGCUCGAAAGCAUGGGUAGCGAACAGGAUUAGAUACCCUGGUAGUCCAUGCCGUAAACGAUGAGUGCUAAGUGU
rnacentral:rRNA from 1 species